rnacentral:rRNA from 1 species
GAUGAACGCUGGCGGCGUGCCUAAUACAUGCAAGUCGAGCGAGCGGACGAGAAGCUUGCUUCUCUGAUGUUAGCGGCGGACGGGUGAGUAACACGUGGAUAACCUACCUAUAAGACUGGGAUAACUUCGGGAAACCGUAGCUAAUACCGGAUAAUAUUUUGAACCGCAUGGUUCAAAAGUGAAAGACGGUCUUGCUGUCACUUAUAGAUGGAUCCGCGCUGCAUUAGCUAGUUGGUAAGGUAACGGCUUACCAAGGCAACGAUGCAUAGCCGACCUGAGAGGGUGAUCGGCCACACUGGAACUGAGACACGGUCCAGACUCCUACGGGAGGCAGCAGUAGGGAAUCUUCCGCAAUGGGCGAAAGCCUGACGGAGCAACGCCGCGUGAGUGAUGAAGGUCUUCGGAUCGUAAAACUCUGUUAUUAGGGAAGAACAUAUGUGUAAGUAACUGUGCACAUCUUGACGGUACCUAAUCAGAAAGCAACGGCUAACUACGUG